UCGGGAAUUUUGGGCAAUGGGCGAAAGCCUGACCCAGCAACGCCGCGUGAAGGAUGAAGUAUUUCGGUAUGUAAACUUCGAAAGAAUAGGAAGAAUAAAUGACGGUACUAUUUAUAAGGUCCGGCUAACUACGUGCCAGCAGCCGCGGUAAUACGUAGGGACCAAGCGUUGUUCGGAUUUACUGGGCGUAAAGGGCGCGUAGGCGGCAAUUCAAGUCAUCUGUGAAAUCUCCGGGCUUAACUCGGAACGGUCAGAUGAUACUGCUUUGCUAGAGUGCAGAAGGGGCAAUCGGAAUUCUUGGUGUAGCGGUGAAAUGCGUAGAUAUCGGGAGGAACAUCAGUGGCGAAGGCGGCGACCUGGACAGGUACUGACACUAAACUACGAAAGCGUGGGGAGCAAACAGGAUUAGAUACCCGGGUAGUCCCUGAGCGGGCUGGCAAGGCGCAU
rnacentral:rRNA from 1 species